AUUGAACGCUGGCGGCAGGCCUAACACAUGCAAGUCGAGCGGAUGAAGGGAGCUUGCUCCUGGAUUCAGCGGCGGACGGGUGAGUAAUGCCUAGGAAUCUGCCUGGUAGUGGGGGAUAACGUCCGGAAACGGGCGCUAAUACCGCAUACGUCCUGAGGGAGAAAGUGGGGGAUCUUCGGACCUCACGCUAUCAGAUGAGCCUAGGUCGGAUUAGCUAGUUGGUGGGGUAAAGGCCUACCAAGGCGACGAUCCGUAACUGGUCUGAGAGGAUGAUCAGUCACACUGGAACUGAGACACGGUCCAGACUCCUACGGGAGGCAGCAGUGGGGAAUAUUGGACAAUGGGCGAAAUCCUGAUCCAGCCAUGCCGCGUGUGUGAAGAAGGUCUUCGGAUUGUAAAGCACUUUGAGUUGGGAGGAAGGGCAGUAAGUUAAUACCUUGCUGUUUUGACGUUACCAACAGAAUAAGCACCGGCUAACUUCGUG
rnacentral:rRNA from 1 species